GUAGGUGGCAAGCGUUGUCCGGAAUUAUUGGGGCGUAAAGCGCGCGCAGGCGGUUCUUUAAGUCUGAUGUGAAAGCCCACGGGCUCAACCGUGGAGGGUCAUUGGAAACUGGAGAACUUGAGUACAGAAGAGGAAAGCGGAAUUCCACGUGUAGCGGUGAAAUGCGUAGAGAUGUGGAGGAACACCAGUGGCGAAGGCGGCUUUCUGGUCUGUAACUGACGCUGAGGCGCGAAAGCGCGGGGAGCAAACAGGAUUAGAUACCCUGGUAGUCCACGCCGUAAACGAUGAGUGCUAAGUGUUAGGGGGGUUUCCGCCCCUUAGUGCUGCAGCUAACGCAUUAAGCACUCCGCCUGGGGAGUACGGCCGCAAAGGCUG
rnacentral:rRNA from 1 species